UCUCCGCCGUCGAACCUCACCCUCUCGUUCCGGCUCCGCAGCGAGACCUGAGCACCGCGGAAGAGCCGCCGGCGCUCCCUCCGCACGCACUGCUCCACCACAGGUUAAAAAGUUCUGUCAUCUCAGGGAAGCAGUAGCCUGUUGUUGGUUUCUUGGAGCAGCAACUCAAACCAAUAAUGAGCAGAUGAUAACAGUAAAUCGGUGUCUGGCAGACAACAUCACAGUGGCGGAGCUGCACAAGCAACAUCAAAGAGCAGGGAACUUUUGUAUUCCCGAGUCAGUGGGAAACAUGCCCAGUAGUAUCUCCACUGCCAAAGUGGCUGCAGUUUCUACAUAGAUCUCUCUAGAUCUUUUAACCAUGUCUGUUCACGCAACAGAGAAUGAUCCUCCUAGAUUCUUCGUGGGUGGAGAAGAUGGAGAAGGAUUACUGGAUUCAGGCAGAUCGUCAGAUUAUGAACAGUUCUAUGACCAUGGGGAAGAAGAGGAGGAAGAGUAUGACUCUCCACCGGAAAGACAAAUUGCAGUUGGGAUAUGUUCAAUGGCUAAAAAGUCCAAGUCCAAACCAAUGAAAGAAAUUCUUGAACGCCUCUCCAUGUUUAAGUACAUAACUGUG